GGGGAGGGUUUGCGGGGCGCGGGCCGGGCGUCCGGGGGGCGGGGCGUCCGGGGGGCGGGGCGGGGCGGGGCCAGAGGCCGCCGUCUCCGCGGUUGGCAGCAGCUGGGUGGCUGUUGCUGGCAGCCGCCGGGGCUUAGGUCGCACCAUUCUCAGCCUCGGAGACCUGUCCACCCGGAGCUGUGACAAGAUUCCAACUGUUUCUCAGGAUGAAAAAAACACUCCCUGGUCUGUAGAGGCCCAAGUGUCUUCUGGAGCCCCACCUCCCAGAGAGAGCAUAAUCAGGCAGAGCGGCAGGUAGAGGGAGAGGAAGAAGCAGACU